UACAGAGGUCCCAAGCGUUGUUCGGAUUCACUGGGCGUAAAGGGUGCGUAGGCGGGUCUUUAAGUCAGGGGUGAAAUCCUGGAGCUCAACUCCAGAACUGCCUUUGAUACUGAAGAUCUUGAGUUCGGGAGAGGUGAGUGGAACUGCGAGUGUAGAGGUGAAAUUCGUAGAUAUUCGCAAGAACACCAGUGGCGAAGGCGGCUCACUGGCCCGAUACUGACGCUGAGGCACGAAAGCGUGGGGAGCAAACAGGG
rnacentral:rRNA from 1 species